UUUAAAUUGAUCAAAGUUUUAUUGCACUUUUGCUGUUAACAAUUUACUCAAUCUACAGCUUCAAUUAAGUAUCCCUUAAAUUAGUCAUUGAAUAUUUAGGGAAAAAUAUUCAAUAAGUAUAUUUAUAAAGUUAGUUGCAUUUUUUACAUACAUAAUAGUCAUAAUAGCAGUUCUACAUAAUAUAAUUUCAUACCGGAAUACGAUACGUUUCUUAACCUUAACUGUAUAUAAUUUAUUUAUUGAAGCUUCACUGAACCGUAAAAUUGAUGAUGAUCCUUGAUACUGGCAGCAUGACUUUUCAGCCGACAGUAGAAAUUUUGUUGUUUGCCUACGUCUUGUAAUUGUGAAAAGGAGUAUUAAAUGAUUAGGUUUUUGUAACCCGUUGGUAUUUACAGUGCAGACAUGGAUACAGUUUUUGUUUGUCAUUUUGUGUUAUAAAUAUUAGGAAGGUGUGCUUUAUCCUGUUGAAGUUUGUUGAAUGAAAUCGCAGAUAAUAAUCUAAUAUCAACUUGAAUCAAACAUAUUGAUGGAUUUAUUACAAUUACGCUGGAACGUUUCUGAAGAGUUAUUUGAUAACAAGAAAGUGACGUAAAAGUACUUGUGUAGUUAUGCAACACGUAAAAUAAAAAUACACAAAAAAUUAUAUGAAAAGGAUCUAAAGAUUUCGAGAUUUUGUGCAUGCUGCUUACUGUUUGGUGUGAGAAUAUGUACAUAAUUCCCACAGGAAUGUACAUUUCUUUAAAGGUAGUAAACUUGUGGCUGUUGUGAUGUGUACUGACAAUUAAGUGAAAUAAAAUAAAAAGACUUAUAGCUAAAUGUUCAGCUGAUUUUUGAAAUGUGGAUAAGUGAUACAUGUGUACUAAUAAUAAAAUAUUAAUUUAUACAUCA